rnacentral:rRNA from 1 species
ACCUAAUAGAUACCCCCGGUAGUCCACGCCCUAAACGAUGCGAACUGGAUGUUGGGUACAUUACGGUACUCAGUGUCGAAAGCUAAACGCGUUAAGUUCGCCGCCUGGGGAGUACGGUCGCAAGACUGAAACUCAAAGGAAUUGACGGGGGUCCCGCACAAGCGGUGGAGUAUGUGGUUUAAUUCGAUGCAACGCGAAGAACCUUACCUGGCCUUGACAUCUGUCGAAUCCUGCAGAGAUGCGGGAGUGCCGCAAGGAACGACAAGACAGGUGCUGCAUGGCUGUCGUCAGCUCGUGUCGUGAGAUGUUGGGUUAAAGUCCCGCAACGAGCGCAACCCGUUGUCCCUAGUUGCCAGCACAUCAUGGUGGG